CAGAUUGAGAAUGAAGCUUUCCGGUCGGGCGGGAGGAGGUGACGUCAGGAGCGGUGGCGGGCGGGGUCCUCGGGUAUCCCUGGGGACGCUGUAUCUGUGGGCCCUUAAAUCGCGUCACAAAUCAGCGACCGAACUCUGGCUGAGGUGGCUGAGGCGGCGAAGGCGGCAGCGGCGGCGACAGCUCUGGGGUUUGCGUCUCGGGGUGUGUCGGCCGCCGCUGCUGCUCGGGCCUGGUAUGUACAGAUGGCUGGUUAGGAUUCUCGGCACCAUUUUCCGUUUCUGCGACCGGUCGGUGCCCCCUGCCCGGGCCCUCCUGAAGAGGCGGCGCUCAAACAGCACUCUGUUUUCUGCAGUGGACACUGAUGAAAUACCAGCCAAAAGACCAAGAUUAGAUUGCUUUAUUCACCAAGUGAAAAACAGUCUCUACAAUGCUGCCAGCUUAUUUGGAUUCCCAUUCCAGCUGACCACAAAGCCCAUGGUAACUUCUGCUUGUAAUGGAACACGGAAUGUGGCCCCUUCAGGAGAGGUAUUUUCGAACUCUUCAUCUUGUGAACUGACAGGUUCUGGAUCCUGGAACAACAUGCUGACACUGGGUAAUAAAUCUCCUAAUGGAAUAAGUGACUAUCCAAAGAUCAGAGUGACAGUAACCCGAGAUCAGCCACGCAGAGUCCUGCCUUCCUUGGGUUUUACUUUGAAUUCAGAAGGCUAUAAUAGAAGACCAGGUGGCCGUCGCCAUAGCAAAGGUAAUCCAGAGAGUUCUUUCAUGUGGAAACCUCAGGAACCCGCUGUAACAGAGAUGAUUUCUGAAGAGAGUGGCAAGGGUCUGAGGCGCCCCCAUUGUACUGUGGAGGAGGGUGUUCAAAAAGAGGAAAGAGAGAAGUACCGAAGGUUAUUGGAACGACUUAAAGAAAGUGGUCAUGGAAACUCUGUCACAUGUCCUGUGACUUCAAAUUAUCACAGUUCUCAAAGAAGUCAGAUGGACACAUUAAAGACCAAAGGCUGGGGGGAAGAGCAAAAUCAUGGAGUCAAAACAACACAAUUUGUUCCAAAACAAUAUAGACUUGUUGAAACAAGGGGACCUCUAUGUUCAUUGAGAAGUGAAAAGAGGUGUUCAAAGGGGAAAAUUUCUGAUACAGAAAAGAUGGUUGGACUCAGAUUUGAAAAUGAAAGUCAAGUAUCAAACAUGUCAGUAGAAUUUAGAUGCUUUUUUGAUCAGAGGAGGGGAUACCAGCUGGAGCCUGACCUAUCAGAAGAAGUGUCGGCCCGACUCCGCCUGGGCAGUGGAAGCAAUGGCUUACUCAGGAGGAAAGUGUCAAUAAUUGAGACAAAGGAAAAGAAUUGCUCAGGCAAAGAGAGGGACAGAAGAACGGAUGAUCUCCUUGAACUUACAGAGGACAUGGAAAAGGAAAUCAGUAACGCCUUAGGCCAUGGCCCACAGGAUGAAAUCCUAAGUAGUGCUUUCAAAUUGCGAAUCACUCGAGGAGACAUCCAGACAUUAAAGAAUUAUCACUGGCUCAAUGAUGAAGUCAUUAAUUUUUACAUGAAUCUUCUGGUGGAAAGAAAUAAAAAGCAAGGCUAUCCAGCACUUCAUGUAUUCAGUACUUUCUUCUAUCCUAAAUUAAAGUCUGGGGGUUACCAAGCAGUGAAAAGAUGGACCAAAGGGGUAAAUCUCUUUGAACAAGAAAUUAUUCUGGUGCCUAUUCAUCGGAAGGUACAUUGGAGCCUGGUGGUGAUAGACCUAAGAAAAAAGUGUCUUAAAUAUCUGGAUUCUAUGGGACAAAAGGGCCACAGGAUCUGUGAGAUUCUCCUUCAGUAUUUACAGGAUGAAAGUAAGACCAAAAGAAAUAUUGAUCUGAAUCUUUUAGAGUGGACCCAUUACAGCAUGAAACCACAUUUUUGUCCAUUCUGUGAGAGAUGCUGGGCUCGAGAGAAAAGUGUGAGGUAUCUGCAUAUGUAUGGGUGGAGAUUCCUCAACAGUUGAAUGGGAGUGAUUGUGGAAUGUUUACUUGUAAAUAUGCAGAUUAUAUUUCUAGGGACAAACCUAUCACAUUUACUCAGCACCAGAUGCCUCUCUUCCGGAAGAAGAUGGUGUGGGAAAUCCUUCAUCAGCAGUUACUGUGAGGAAAACUUUGCCUGGUCCCUCUAGCUGCUGGUGGUUCUUUCACAGACAUUUCCAUAUACCUCAUGCAUUGUGGGUUAAAAAGUUCCUGCAUCACUUCUGUUCUCUCACAGGUACUGAGCUGUCAAAAGUGCAUGAAGGCCUCUCGCUGCACCCUAGUCCUGAGUUGGGGUGCAGAGGGCUGCUUGCAAUCCUGUUUGUAAGGCUGUGCCUGCUCAGAGCUUUGGACUGUUCGACCCACACAAGAACAAACGCUAAUAUUUUUUUUAAGAAAAAUUCUUUUCCCUAUGAAUGUGGGAAAUGCAGGAUUUAUUCUGUGAAUUGUUUUUUUCUGUGUGUUUGUUCAGCGUAUUCAUUCACUCAUUCGUUUGCAAACAUAAUGGGCAGUGGCUAUUUACUGCUGCUCUUUUAUAGUUAGCUCUAAAUUACUUGUUUGAACUAUUUAUUUCUGAAAGGAAUGUUACUCAAGCUGCCACUCCCUGCUGAAGACCAGGAGAGAAAUCUCACUGGGGGCGGAAGUGGAGCUGGAGCACUAACUGCCAACAUGAAGCUGGAGGGUUUGGGAUUUGUUUUUGUUUUUGUUUUUUUGAGGCUCAAAAAUGCUGGGAGAAGCAAAAAUGCUGUGGGAUAGGGCUCCCAUUGCCUUUCAGAGGAAGUCUGACACUACAGCGUUGGCACAGUGCCAUGGAGCCGAGGAACUGUGCCCAAGGAACUCUGACUACCCAAGCAUCUUCAGAAGAGUGUUGUGGUCAUCUUACAGUGACUUCCCUUUCUGGAAAUGAGGUGACUUGGCUUAGUCUUGAAACUGGAUUCAUGGAUUUGAAGUAACUGUAAACCCUAAAUCUUCAUUUUCAUCCCAGAUCUGGUUGAGUAUAAACCUCAGAAUUGUAGGGGCUGGCCUGAGCUGUUUAUUUCAAAAGAUACUAUUCAAUUUAAAGCUAUUUUUCCUCAGAGUUUUUGUUUUCUAUAUAUUGAGCCUAAAUUAAGUUUUCUACUCAAUGAGACUAACAUCUCCCCACUCCAUCCCCACUGAAAGUUGUAGAAGAAAAUGUACUUGGCUCUGAGGUUGCCAGUUACACAGUAAUCUAUUUUGCAUAUGAAAGUUUGUAUUUAACUUUUUCGUUCAUUAAAAACCUUACUGAUGUGGUUAUAAUUUCAGAAAGUUUAGAGUUGGUCAGAACAUAUUUUGCAAGAUCUAGUGCCUAGUGUUGCUUUUCUGAUGUAAUAAAAGGUUGUCUGGCAGAACCCAAAAA